CCUAUUUCCCAUUUUGUAUAUGCGUAAGUAUAUAACUAUAUAUCUAAUAAUCUGUGAAUGACUUGAUGCAGCAAAAUGGUGGUUGAAUCAUGGCACAAGCGCACCCAAGCUGAAGAAUUUGGUAAGAAAGAUCCUCACAUUGACAUGCACCUCCUCAGCUUGUGAGAGAAACUGGUCAUCAUUCGAACAAGUUCAUGCAAAAAACGUAAUAGACUACUCAGUGAUAGGUUGAGGGAUCUUGUCUUCGUCAAAUUCAACGCGAGGCUGCAGCAUAAGAGAGCAAAUAA